AGGAAACUGUAUUAUUAUUAUUUUUAAUCCCCAGGUGACUUGGAUGCACAGUCAGGAAUAAAUGAUCCAAGGUAUUUUCUGGUUCUAUCAUUCUAAGAUGCUAUAAAUUGAUAAAGAGAAAGUAAAAUUGGGUUGAGAAUAAGGUGAUGGGGGGUGCAGAGAGAAACGAAUACUUACCACCAUCAAGCAAAAGCCAUUACUGGUGGCACAGCAAGAUGAGGGCCAGUGACUUGUGGAACAUAUGAGAGACUAUCCUUCAUGAGCAUCUGUUUUCUUCCAAGCACUUCAUAUGAGCUUCCUCAUUUUGUUCCUGACAAACUCCUACCAGUAAGCUGUUAUGAGUUUCAUCCUUUUUUUUCAUCUUCUUUUAGACAAAGAAAAUGGCCCAGAAAGAUAAAUUCUCUUGCUUCAGGUGACAUAGCUCAAACAUGGCAGCACUAGGAUUCUAACCCUACUUGGGCUCCAGAGUCUCAACUCCUUUCACAGCAGCUAUACUGCCUUUGCACAGGGUUACAGCAAGGACCUAGGCAAUACUCCUGGACAAGGACAAGUUUCUUCUCACACAGAUGAUCACCCAGAAGGAUGCUCACAGCUUCAAGUGAGACUGAUGGGAACGUCUUUAAAAAGCCAAGAACCAGAAUAUCACCCCAAGACAUCUGGUCCUCUCAUCCUUUAGUGAAGUGCAGAUGGAGACUCCUAUGUGGUCUUGAUUAUCACAGUAUUUGGGAACCCUCGGCUAAAGAGAUGUCUUUACAAAGCGAGAGCUAAGAGACUUUUAACUAAGACUGCCUAGAAUACCUCCAAGGAGGUUCAACUCAUUUAGGAAAUUCAAGGUGAUUUUUUUUUUAAAUAAGUUUCUGAUAUAUAAGUGACAAUACCUGAAGAUAAGCAAGAUGUUUACCAAAGUACGUAUGCUUCUUUAAGUCUUAUUUUGAAGUACAUUCAGACCUUUUAAAAUGCAAUGAUUAGG
rnacentral:lncRNA from 12 species